ACGAACGCUGGCGGCGUGCUUAACACAUGCAAGUCGAACGGAAAGGCCCUGCUUUUGUGGGGUGCUCGAGUGGCGAACGGGUGAGUAACACGUGAGUAACCUGCCCUUGACUUUGGGAUAACUUCAGGAAACUGGGGCUAAUACCGGAUAGGAGCUCCUGCUGCAUGGUGGGGGUUGGAAAGUUUCGGCGGUUGGGGAUGGACUCGCGGCUUAUCAGCUUGUUGGUGGGGUAGUGGCUUACCAAGGCUUUGACGGGAAGCCGGCCUGAGAGGGUGACCGGCCACAUUGGGACUGAGAUACGGCCCAGACUCCUACGGGAGGCAGCAGUGGGGAAUAUUGCACAAUGGGCGGAAGCCUGAUGCAGCAACGCCGCGUGCGGGAUGACGGCCUUCGGGUUGUAAACCGCUUUCGCCUGUGACGAAGCGUGAGUGACGGUAAUGGGUAAAGAAGCACCGGCUAACUACGUG
rnacentral:rRNA from 1 species